rfam:Plasmodium ovale curtisi genome assembly, contig: contig603
UUGUCGAAUGAUGAAAUAUAAAAUACGAUAUACUCUCGAGUCCUGAGUAAAUACAUUGAACUCAAAAAAAUUGCUCAGUUGAGCGUGAGUUUUAAAUGAAGUAAACAUUAUUAUCUGACGAGAAAUUUCU